rnacentral:rRNA from 1 species
UACGUAGGGCGCAAGCGUUGUCCGGAAUUAUUGGGCGUAAAGAGCUCGUAGGCGGUCUGUCGCGUCGGAUGUGAAAGCCCGGGGCUUAACCCCGGGUCUGCAUUCGAUACGGGCAGACUAGAGUGUGGUAGGGGAGACUGGAAUUCCUGGUGUAGCGGUGAAAUGCGCAGAUAUCAGGAGGAACACCGAUGGCGAAGGCAGGUCUCUGGGCCACUACUGACGCUGAGAAGCGAAAGCGUGGGGAGCGAACAGG